rnacentral:rRNA from 1 species
CUACGGGGUGCUGCAGUGGGGAAUAUUGCACAAUGGAGGAAACUCUGAUGCAGCAACGCCGCGUGGAGGAUGACACUUUUCGGAGCGUAAACUCCUUUUAUAUAGGAAGAAGAUGACGGUACUAUAUGAAUAAGCGCCGGCUAACUCCGGUGCCAGCAGCCGCGGUAAUACGGAGGGCGCAAGCGUUACUCGGAAUCACUGGGCGUAAAGAGCGUGUAGGCGGAUUAAAAAGUCAGAAGUGAAAUCCUAUAGCUUAACUAUAGAACUGCUUCUGAAACUCUUAAUCUAGAAUAUGGGAGAGGUAGAUGGAAUUUCUGGUGUAGGGGUAAAAUCCGUAGAGAUCAGAAGGAAUACCGAUUGCGAAGGCGAUCUACUAGAACAUUAUUGACGCUGAGACGCGAAUGCGUGGGGAGCAAACAGGAUUAGAUACCCGGGUAGUC